rnacentral:rRNA from 1 species
CCUACGGGCGGCAGCAGUGGGGAAUAUUGGACAAUGGGGGCAACCCUGAUCCAGCCAUGCCGCGUGUGUGAAGAAGGCCCUCGGGUUGUAAAGCACUUUCAGUGAGGAAGAACGCCUGGUGGUUAAUACCCAUCAGGAAAGACAUCACUCACAGAAGAAGCACCGGCUAACUCCGUGCCAGCAGCCGCGGUAAUACGGAGGGUGCGAGCGUUAAUCGGAAUUACUGGGCGUAAAGCGCGCGUAGGUGGCUUGAUAAGCCGGUUGUGAAAGCCCCGGGCUCAACCUGGGAACGGCAUCCGGAACUGUCAAGCUAGAGUGCAGGAGAGGAAGGUAGAAUUCCCGGUGUAGCGGUGAAAUGCGUAGAGAUCGGGAGGAAUACCAGUGGCGAAGGCGGCCUUCUGGACUGACACUGACACUGAGGUGCGAAAGCGUGGGUAGCACACAGGAUUAGAUACCCUUGUAGUC